AGUGCUGGGAUUAUAGGCGUGAGCCAUUGCACCUGGCCCAGUUCCCUGGGAUACAUGUGUUUUAAUUCAUUUUCUGUUGCUAGUAACAGAAUACCUGAAACUGGGUAAUUUAUAAGGAAAAGAAAUUUAUUUCUUACAGUGAUGGAGGUUGAGAAGUCCAACUUCAAGGCACCACAUCUGGUGAGAGCCUUCAUUCCGAUGACAGCCUUCAUGCUGGUAAGAUUUUCUUCAGAGUUCCAAGGUGGUGCACGGCAUCACAUGGCGAAGGAAAUGAGCGUGCUAGCUCAGGUGUCUCUUCCUCUUCUUAUAAAGCCACCAGUCCCACUCCUGUGCUAGUAACUCUUUAAUCCAUCAACCCAUUAAUCCAUGAAUAGAUUAACCCAUGAGGCCUCUGCCCUCAGGACCCAAUCACCUCUUAAAGGCCUGACCUGUCAAUAUUGCCAUACUGGGGACUCAGUUUCAACAUGAGUUUUGAAAGGGACAAACAUUCAAUCCAUAGUAACAUGAGAGCUUUUCAAAGCCCUUCUUUGUUGAAGUAUGUCCUUCUCCAGCCUCUUUUUUCCCAGGCUUUUUGUUUUUUCUAUUGCUUGUGCAGCUGUUAUCCUUUGCUACAGGUGGCAAUAGCUAAUACAUUUGCCUUUAAAUUUGUUUGACAAACACCACCCUGGAAGUAGCCUCAACUCUGGGGAAGCUCCAAGACAGGUAAAAUACAGCAACCUGCAGCAGGAAAAUGGGCUUCAGUUUUCAAGUCUGCAGCUGAGUUGGGAAGUUGCGGACAGUAACCAG
rnacentral:lncRNA from 10 species